UUUACUUUGUUUUUUUAAAUAGCACGUUACUAUGAACAACCACUUUUGAAAUGCAGUUUUUCAGAAAUACAGUCGGUAAACAUUCCAAAUAAUAGUAAACACUAAAGUCCUUUCAAAAAACUGCAGCAAAUUUUUUUGAAUGACAGAUAAGAAUUGAACUUGACAAGAUGUCAUGUAUUUUGUCAACCAAUACCACAUCAGUGCUCCAGCCAGUUGACCAACGUAUCAUAAGAUCUUUAAAAGUCCAUUAUAAAAAAGUUCCAGUUAAUGAAUAUUAUUUAAAAUAAUCAGUUAUCUAAGAAGUCUUCCAUUAAUAUUUUGGACGCAAUAUCGAUGAUCUCCAAAGCCUGGAAUAGGACACUGGAAACUGCCGACUCUGAAGACGACAUUCCUUUAGCCGAGAUGGCAAGAAGAAUAAGUAGUGACUUUGAUACAGAAGAUUAUGUGCCUCUAGCUGUAAUUAAAAAAAACUUUAAAUUAACUGGUGAAUUAUGAAGCGAUUUCAUAGAUUCUGAUAGUCACUUAGACACAAACAGUACUUUCGGCCACGAGCAAAUUGCAGCAGAGGUACUUACAAUUGAGGAUACCUAAGAUCAAGGUGAAGGCAGCAGGUCUGAGGAUGAAGAAGAAUUCAAUCCACCAUCUAUUGAAGAAGCUUUACAAUCAGUGAAGACCCUAAACAGUUUUGUACUAUACAAUGCAAGUGAUGAAAAACUUUUAUACACAAGUCAAUUUACUUUAACUCGCGUUGCAAAAAACAAACAUAGAUAAAAGAUUUUUUACUAAAUUAACUACAUAAUUUUUUUUUAUAUUAUUAUGUACGUACAUACAAAUGUAUUUUAUGUACUAUGUAGGUUCUUAUGUUUCUGUGUAAAUUUAGGUUUUUUUUA